AACUAGUGAUGUGGACAUUUACAGAGUAGGUCCCUAAAGAGCUCCCAAAUCUAGAAAAAGAGUUCCCCAUCCAUUUGUGAGAAACUUGUGAUGGCUCUUUGAAGCU